GGCAGCGUGGCAGAAUUGGCAAAUGCUCCCGUCUUGAAAACGGGCGUCCGAAAGGACAUGUGGGAUCGAGACCUACCGCUGUCG
rnacentral:tRNA from 1 species